GGAGCCGUGCCUGAAUUAAAGGGUCACUUUGAUAGGGUGAAUAAUGAGGGUUAGAGCCCCUCCAGCUCCU
rnacentral:tRNA from 1 species